rnacentral:rRNA from 1 species
CUACGGGUUGCUGCAGUGAGGAAUAUUGCACAAUGGAGGAAACUCUGAUGCAGCAACGCCGCGUGGAGGAUGACGCAUUUCGGUGUGUAAACUCCUUUUAUGAGUCAAGAAAAUGACGGUAGCUCAUGAAUAAGCACCGGCUAACUCCGUGCCAGCAGCCGCGGUAAUACGGAGGGUGCAAGCGUUACUCGGAAUUACUGGGCGUAAAGGACGCGUAGGCGGGUUGGAAAGUCAGGUGUGAAAUCCUACAGCUUAACUGUAGAACUGCACUUGAAACUUCUAAUCUAGAGUAUGGGAGGGGGAGAUGGAAUUAGUGGUGUAGGGGUAAAAUCCGUAGAUAUCACUAGGAAUACCUAAAGCGAAGGCGAUCUCCUGGAACAUUACUGACGCUAAGGCGUGAAAGCGUGGGGAGCAAACAGGAUUAGAUACCCCAGUAGUC